rnacentral:rRNA from 1 species
UGAGUAAUGCCUAGGAAUCUGCCUGGUAGUGGGGGAUAACGCUCGGAAACGGACGCUAAUACCGCAUACGUCCUACGGGAGAAAGCAGGGGACCUUCGGGCCUUGCGCUAUCAGAUGAGCCUAGGUCGGAUUAGCUAGUUGGUGAGGUAAUGGCUCACCAAGGCGACGAUCCGUAACUGGUCUGAGAGGAUGAUCAGUCACACUGGAACUGAGACACGGUCCAGACUCCUACGGGAGGCAGCAGUGGGGAAUAUUGGACAAUGGGCGAAAGCCUGAUCCAGCCAUGCCGCGUGUGUGAAGAAGGUCUUCGGAUUGUAAAGCACUUUAAGUUGGGAGGAAGGGCAUUUACCUAAUACGUAAGUGUUUUGACGUUACCGACAGAAUAAGCACCGGCUAACUCUGUGCCAGCAGCCGC